AUCCUGACAACGAGUCCCAAACAGGACGAAACGUGCAUCCUGGAU
rfam:Schistosoma mattheei strain Denwood, Zambia genome assembly, scaffold: SMTD_scaffold0013527